GGCUAACUACGUGCCAGCAGCCGCGGUAAUACGUAGGGUGCAAGCGUUAAUCGGAAUUACUGGGCGUAAAGCGUGCGCAGGCGGUGAUGUAAGACAGAAGGUGGAAAAUCCCCCGGGGCUCAACCUGGGAACUGCCUUUGUGACUGCAUCGCUGGAGUGCGGCAGAGGGGGAUGGAAUUCCGCGUGUAGCAGUGAAAUGCGUAGAUAUGCGGAGGAACACCGAUGGCGAAGGGCAAUCCCCUGGGCCUGCACUGACGCUCAUGCACGAAAGCGUGGGGAGCAAACAGGAUUAGAUACCCUGGUAGUCCACGCCCUAAACGAUGUCAACUGGUUGUUGGGUUUUAAUUAACUCAGUAACGAAGCUAACGCGUGAAGUUGACCGCCUGGGGGAGUACGGCCGCAAGGUUGAAAACUCAAAAGGAAUUGACGGGGGAC
rnacentral:rRNA from 1 species